rnacentral:rRNA from 1 species
GAUAAACGCUAGCGGUGUGCCUUAUGCAUGCAAGUCGAACGGUCCUGAUUUAUCAGGAUAGUGGCGAAUGGGUGAGUAACGCGUAAGUAACCUGCCCCUAAGUAGGGGAUAACUCUGAGAAAUCGGAGCUAAUACUGUGGUGGUGGUGGAGGUAAUGCUUCAUCACUAAAGCCUUAGGGCGCUUAGGGAGGGACUUGCGUCCGAUUAGCUAGUUGGUAGGGUAAUGGCUUACCAAGGCGACGAUCGGUAGCUGGUUUGAGAGGACGGUCAGCCACACUGGGACUGAGACACGGCCCAGACUCCUACGGGAGGCAGCAGCAAGGAAUAUUGUGCAAUGGGCGAAAGCCUGACACAGCGACGCCGCGUGGGGGAUGAAGGCUUUCGGGUUGUAAACCCCUUUUCUCAGGGAAGAAUAAUGACGGUACCUGAGGAAUAAGUCUCGGCUAACUACGUGCCAGCAGCCGCGGUAAUACGUAGGAGGCGAGCGUUAUCCGGAUUUACUGGGCGUAAAGAGGGCGUAGGUUGCUUUUUAAGUCGGAUAUGAAAUCUCCCGGCUUAACUGGGAGGGGUUAUCCGAUACUAUUGGGCUAGAGGGCAGCAGAGGGAGGUGGAAUUCCCGGUGUAGUGGUGAAAUGCGUAGAUAUCGGGAGGAACACCAGUGGCGAAGGCGGCCUCCUGGGCUGUUGCUGACGCUGAGGCCCGAAAGCGUGGGGAGCGAACAGGAUUAGAUACCCUGGUAGUCCACGCUGUAAACUAUGGACACUAGGUAUAGGGAGUAUCGACCCUCUCUGUGCCGAAGCUAACGCAUUAAGUGUCCCGCCUGGGGACACGGUCGCAAGACU